ACUCGGGUCACUUAAUUUUGCGAUGAGAAUAAUACCACAGAGGAGAUCUUUCAUUUCCAGAAUUCUCUCUCUCCUUCAUGGGCUCCCUGAUGACGACUCCACAACCCUCUUAGACGAACCAGCUAGAGCAGAUCUUAAAAUGUGGCAUCUAUUUCUGUCAUCUUGGAAUUGCAGGUCGCUAUUCGUCCCCCCUAUUUCUGACGACUCCCCG